rnacentral:lncRNA from 1 species
CUCAGCUAAGAGAAACCAGCUCAUUUAUUCUGAUGGACGCCAGAGAGAUGGCCCAAGCUUCUUUCUCAUCUUCAGCACUGCAUCUAUCACCACAGCAAGCUGGGUCCUCAAGCAUCCACCAGAAUGCUAUAAAAUAUGAAGUUUAGCACCAAGUUUUGGGGAGACAUGGUUGACCAGUGAAGAAGGCUUGCUGCUUUUCCAGAGAACCUGAGUUCAGUUCCCAGUACCCAUAUCAGACCACUCACGACUGCCUGUAACUACAGCUUCAGAGGGUCUGACACCCUCUUCUGGCCUCUCUGUACACCUACACUCCCAUGCAAAUGCACACAUACAUAUAAUUAAAAAAUAAAUCUUA